rnacentral:tRNA from 1 species
CCCUUCGUGGUGUAGUGGUCAGCCCUCUCAACCUAUAGCUGAGAAGUCCGUGGUUCGAUUCCCGGCGAAAGCG